AUGGACGCCAAUAAUCGACGAUCGUUCCUUAGGAAAGAAGCCAGCAACAAAGCAAUCAGGCAGCCGGCAUGGCUCAACAGAUGUGUGCCCCCCUGCGAGUUCUCGCACCCUGAACUAGCACCCUUAUGGUUGUGUGCAUCACGCGAGAUGCAGAGGCUGGGGGGAUCUAACAGGCUGAAAACAGAGCAAACUGGGCCUACAACAUGGAAUACCAACCGGCACCAUGCACGCGAGAUAGCUGCUGUCGUAGUUGGGCCGAAACCCAACCGAGAAAGAGCACUUAAUGUUGGACCACGGGAACUUUUGCUGCAGGCGUGGACGAGCACGCGCGCUCCUGGUAUCCCAAUCGUUCAAUGGUUCUGGGGAUGUGGGCCGUACGAGAUCCGGUCGUCCGUUGCUCGUCGCGGCCAGUUCGCCGGUGACCACCUCUACAAGUGUCGCAAUCAUAAUUGGUCAUGUGAAAUCCAUGGCAGCCGGGGCGUGGUGGAUGCGAUUUUUACCGGUGGCAGGAAGCCUAUGUGGAGCACCUGGCUUCGCUUGGUCCGGCGCCAGCUCCGCUGGCGCAAAUCAAUCCAGGGCAGCAGUAAUGUCGCAAGAACACCUUCAGAGAUGCAAUGCAAUCUGAACAUUGGUGACCGCCUAGCUAGAUUGAUAGAAGCACAUAGAGGGAAACAAAAAUGCACUCCACAUGCUGGAUCAGGCUCCAUGCCAAGCUCCUCUACAGGAUUGAACAUCACACAUCUCCAGAUGCAAAUGCCCACAGCGCAAACACUGGAGAUGAACUUUGCACAUUCACUUAUGCAGACUUCUGACCACGUGUAUCCAGACAAAUACAAAACUCCUGAUACCACACUGCCGGCGACACACUACUGUUGCAAGCAACCAAAUGCCCGUCCUCCACUAACAAUUCUACUCGUGCAGAACAGCUGGCAUCACCGAACUGCCCGCCAACGCCAUUCCAUGAUACAUUUCUACCGGUUCAGACAGAUCACAAGUUCCGUUGCUAUCAUACAAGCGUCGCCGAACAAAGGAUUGAACUGCGUCCCAUGGUGGGCAUCGCUCUUCAGUUCAGUGAUGCACUGGCAGCGGCAACCUCCUGCACCUCAGGGCGAGGGUCACCGCGCCUGCCCAUGCAGCCGUCAUGGCUUCGCGCUCUUCGAGGAGGGCCACGGGACCUUCUUCUUACAUCGUGGUAGUUGCCGUCUCUGCCGAGUUAGGGAAAGUUUGGCUUUGCCGCUCGACUCCAUCUUCAACCACGAGCACACGACUCCUUACUCGCCCGUCGCGUGUGCUAGGGUUCCUCACGUCGCCGUCACCGCCGCCGCUGCAUGGGUGUUCGUCAACUGGCCCUGCCUCCGGCCGCCGCUGCCCACCUCCAUCCUCUCCCCAACCCCGGGCGUCCUCCACUCCACUCCACUCCUCCGCGGGCCGGCCGAUUCCGGCGGCGCUAAGAACACUCCUCCCAUGCUCGCCUCGCGCUGCUGCGUCCACCCAUCGGGUUGGAUUCACCGCUCCUCGAUGGCAAGGGCUUCGGUCGCCUCCAACUCUGGCAACUCCGGCUUUGGUACGCACUUCGGAGGCUUGCGCCGCUCGGCGCGUCCCCCGCCCGCGUCUUUUCCUCCGGCCACACCUUCAGGAUUCGUGCCGCUCCAGCCCGAGGGCUUUGUAGGCUUGCUGUUGCCGCCGUCCUCUUCACCGUUUUUAGUGCAGACGCCCCCUAUUGAUUCCAUUUUCUCUGAUGCAUGGUGGUCGGCCGGUAGUCACCUCCACCUUCUGUCGCAGCGUAUCCAGAGACCUGGAUGCCCUGCAAGAUACACGAGGGGGGCGCUGCUGCUCUUCUCCUCUUUAAUUUCCUUCAACCCCGUCAAGGUCUGCUGCUUCGAAUUUGACGAGCAAUUUCGAGUCGUGGCUCUGGGGAACAAGUUGAGCAAGUGCAGCCAUCGUCGAGCUUCGUCACUUCACCAGCAACUCAGGUCCGUCCUCCUCCCACUCUAUUCAUCUUGUGUUGUGGAUACUCGAUGUUUCACGAUUUGUACUACAGAUUUCCUGUUGUUCGACGAACAUAAUGGAACAAGGCAGAUGAGUGAUCCUCUUUUCUUUCCCCCUCUACAAAAAAUCAGUUCCAAUUACCGUACAAUUUCCCCGGUAUGGCUUUCUGGAUUGGAACUUUCCACUCAUUUGUUAUUCUUUGGCCUACAUCUAGAGCCUGUAGGAUCGCGCCACUCAACCCCCGAGAGCGCCAAAGAGCCGCCUCUCAACACCUACAAGCCCAAGGGACCUUACAGAACCACCAUCGUCUCGGUAGAGCAGGCAGUAGGUCAUAACGCUCUGGGAGAGACGUGCCAUGUCAUCAUCGACCAUGCCGGCAAUGUGACAUACUGUGAGGGGCAGAGCUAUGAGAUUAUUCCUCGGGUAAUUGUCUAG
rnacentral:rRNA from 1 species